GGCGUUGUAGCUCAGUGGUACAGUGCUUGCCUAGUAGGCACAAAUUCCUGAGUUCAAUCCCCAGAAACACCA
rnacentral:tRNA from 1 species